rnacentral:misc_RNA from 1 species
GCUGAACCUCCCUCAUCUUGUACUGCUUGAUGUAAUGUAUACUCAAAAUAAGAGUGUAAGUUAAGUAGAACACAAUAGAAUACUCGAAAAGGGGAUGAGAACAAUUCUCAAUUUUUGCAUUAAAAUAAAUAAUAAUCAUAAUAGACUCUCCCAAAAUACCUAGAUGACAUGGGUACUUAUAGUAUAAUAACUAGACAUACUAGUACUAGGAUUAGGAAUCCUAUACGAGAAAAAACUAAGCUAACACUAAUUAUGAAUCCCAAAUCAACAAGAAAAACCAAUGGAAAACGUGAGAAAGUAUAAGAAAAGCUAAAGGAAUUAUCCAUGGACAAUAGGAUACCUAGCUCUAACACCAAAUUGAUGUAGAAUACAAUAGAACAACCCCAAAGAAUUUUCAAUAUUAAUUGUCAAUUAUCAAUGAUAAAAAUCUCUAAUAAAAUACCUAAAUGAUAUAGGUAUUUAUAGUAUAAUAAAUAGUCCUACUAGUACUACGAUUAGAAAUCCUAAAAUAAGAAAAUAUUAACCAUCACUAAUUAGGAAUACUAAACCAACUCAAACUUCCUAAAUAAAAUACUAAACCUAAUAGAAUUCUUAUAUAAUAAAUUCUAAACCUAAUAAAAUUCUUAAACUUCAUAAUCCUCUUUCAAUACUACAUUUGAGCUGAAAAAUGACAGGCAUCACUGCUCUGCUUCCGCUUAUGGGUCACAGCCUCAAUAGUGCUGACUCUGCUCCAGUCGAAUUGAGUUCAUGCGUCAAACUCAUUACACCAACAAUCAAAAGGAGAUAAAAUUUCCAUCUCAAAUGGCUUAUGAGUUGCCCUUUGAUCCUCUUUAGCUUCUUCCCUGUUAUAUGCCCAAGGUGGCAGCCAUCUUACGCGGGAAACAAAAGACAUGGUGAUGUAUAUAAAUGAAAGCUGCUAGCAUGGAUUGCACAGAACAAUUUGUAUUUCACAAAAAGCAAAAAGAUACAUCACCUCUGUUUUUCAGAAAUGAAAACCUCUCUGGACUCGCUGUUACAUGAAAACUACAAAUGUUAGCAUGACAAGAGUGAGAAUGAUUUACAACCAAUAUUUCAUCACCUAAAUUUUGUGUAUCUAUUCUUUUUCUUGUUUCUCCACCCUGUACCCUCAUGGGUAGAAGUGUCUCCCCUUUUCAACUGCAGAAGUCCUAAGCAUCCCAAUCAUUUUCCCAUUCAUCUUUCUUUUGUGACCUAGAAGUAAGGCCAUUGGCUGAAAUACUUCCUGAAUGGCGUGCUGCUGGUGACUUCACUGCAUUUUCCCCAUCCCACUCAUCAUCCCAACCCUCAUCCCAACCUUCUGCUGUUUCGACAUUGUUUACUAAACUAGAUUCUGGCAAACCCAUCUCAAGUUCUUGAUAAGGAAUGCCAUUCUGUUGUUUCCUCUUUCUAAGCAAGCACCAACCUGAAAUCCCUCCAAAAAUUAACACUGUGAGAAUUAUGAAGUAGGCACCAUUAAUGGGAGUAGCAAGUUUAUCGUAAGAAGGCAGGUGCAAGAAAAUGUUUCCCUGAGAUUCUGGAAGAUCAGUGUGUAGGACACAUUCCCCAUGUCCAGCUUUUAGUAUCACUUCAUUGCUGUUACCAACAGUUAAAUUGAUCUGAAAACAAAUAGGAAACUCCACUUGUAAAGGUGCCAACAAAGGUACUCAUGAAUUGCAAGUGGUGAAGUGCAUGUACUACAAUCUCAUCUAAAGUGAGUAUUUGAGUAUCUACUUCUACUCUGCAUGCAUGCAUUGUUGCUGUCUGCAACUCCCCAGUCCACAAUAAAGUACCAUAUAUGUAUAUAUAUAUAUAUACAAACCUAAGAAGAAAAGGGCCCACCUCUAAACAAAUAUAAUUCUUGUUAUUUAUUGAUCAAUAGCCUUUUCUUUACAUUGCAACACUCCAAGCCAGGGCCAGGAUCUCCAUGAUCAAAAUGUCAAUCAACAUUUUUGGUAGGAAAAUAAAAAAUUCUUCGUGUCUAAAAUGUUCCCUAGUCCACCUGGCCACUCGCAAUUUCUGCUAAAUCCCUCAAAUCAAAUAAAUAUCGGUCAUGGCUUUCUAGGUAUUAUUACUCAAUUACACACAUUAAGUUACUGGAGAUCAGGAAGCCGCAAGACAUUGCGAGUCCUCACUGACUUUUGAAACAUGCACUUAACAUCAACCAGAGGCAAGGUUCCUAUGUUCCACUAGCCACAACUUCCAAACCUCAUGCCAUGCUAUCAUAUAUUUCAUGAAAGUUCCACAAGGAUUAAAGAAAUAUGACUAACAGAAAUAUGGUCCAUACCUUUUUAGUUUGGUGUUUGGCUAUUCUAAAGGAAGUAUUAUCAAUAGGAUUUGGAGCAGAAAGAUCCACUUUCAGAUUGCUUUCACCUUCAUUCUGAACUAGAACCACAAAUUUUUUGUGCCCAGUUUCAAAAUAAAGAAUGCAGGCAACCAAUUUAUUCUGAUCCUUGCACCUUCUGGUCAUCGCAGUACAAUUUUGACCAACCUCAGACUGUGAAUCCGUUUUAUUGUCGUUUCUAGUUGUUGUUCCAUUGUUUAGAGGAUGCGGACCCGCCAACGAACCCUUUGAACCAGAAUCAACCUUGUUAGAAUCAUCUGGUACCUUUGGAUCCUUUGAGCUUGUCCCAUUUGACGUCGUAUUAAUAAGAGGAUCUGGACUUGGCGAUGGAGAAAUUUGAUUGGUGCCAGAGCUACCCGUAGAAGCAACGGUUACGAAUCUUCGAAACGUCGACAGCAAUGAAGCAUUGGAAACAUCGGCAACAAUAAAAACCAAUAAAAAUACUGCCACAAUUCCAUUCUUAUCCAUUCCAAAGUACAAUUCCAGCUCCGACCUUAUGAAAUCAAAUCCCAAAAUAAAGCCCUAAUCCAUUGUCAUAGAAUUUUCUACAAUCCAGAUCCUAUUUCUCAAUUAAACAAAUAGAACGGACAAUGAAAAGAAUUUAGAAUAGUUCUGGCAAAAGCUUAGAUUUCACGCAGGGAAACAAGAGAAGAAGUACAGUACAUUGAGAUGAAGCAGCCAGACACUUGAAGCUGCCUAAACACUGCUGCAAGCCUGUGUCAGCAAAUCGAGAGUACCAAUGGUGCAUGGGCCGCUAGCCUUUCAUAUUUAGGGCCCGAUGAUUCCUCUCUGUUUUAAGAUUUUUAUUUUAUUUUAUUU